rnacentral:rRNA from 1 species
UACAGAGGUCCCAAGCGUUACUGAGAAUCACUGGGUUUAAGGGGUGCGUAGGUGGUCCGUUAAGUCAGUUGUGAAAUCCCCGGGCUCAACCCGGGAACUGCUUCUGAUACUGGCGGACUUGAGGCCAGUAGGGGUCACUAGAACUGACGGUGGAGCGGUGAAAUGCGUAGAUAUCGUCAGGAAUGCCGGUGGUGAAGACGGGUGACUGGGCUGGUUCUGACACUGAGGCACGAAAGCGUGGGGAGCGAACGGG